CGUGCCUAAUACAUGCAAGUCGAGCGAACGGACGAGAAGCUUGCUUCUCUGAUGUUAGCGGCGGACGGGUGAGUAACACGUGGAUAACCUACCUAUAAGACUGGGAUAACUUCGGGAAACCGGAGCUAAUACCGGAUAAUAUUUUGAACCGCAUGGUUCAAAAGUAAAAGACGGUCUUGCUGUCACUUAUAGAUGGAUCCGCGCUGCAUUAGCUAGUUGGUAAGGUAACGGCUUACCAAGGCAACGAUGCAUAGCCGACCUGAGAGGGUGAUCGGCCACACUGGAACUGAGACACGGUCCAGACUCCUACGGGAGGCAGCAGUAGGGAAUCUUCCGCAAUGGGCGAAAGCCUGACGGAGCAACGCCGCGUGAGUGAUGAAGGUCUUCGGAUCGUAAAACUCUGUUAUUAGGGAAGAACAUAUGUGUAAGUAACUGUGCACAUCUUGACGGUACCUAAUCAGAAAGCCACGGCUAACUACGUGCCAGCAGCCGCGGUAAUACGUAGGUGGCAAGCGUUAUCCGGAAUUAUUGGGCGUAAAGCGCGCGUAGGCGGUUUUUUAAGUCUGAUGUGAAAGCCCACGGCUCAACCGUGGAGGGUCAUUGGAAACUGGAAAACUUGAGUGCAGAAGAGGAAAGUGGAAUUCCAUGUGUAGCGGUGAAAUGCGCAGAGAUAUGGAGGAACACCAGUGGCGAAGGCGACUUUCUGGUCUGUAACUGACGCUGAUGUGCGAAAGCGUGGGGAUCAAACAGGAUUAGAUACCCUGGUAGUCCACGCCGUAAACGAUGAGUGCUAAGUGUUAGGGGGUUUCCGCCCCUUAGUGCUGCAGCUAACGCAUUAAGCACUCCGCCUGGGGAGUACGACCGCAAGGUUGAAACUCAAAGGAAUUGACGGGGACCCGCACAAGCGGUGGAGCAUGUGGUUUAAUUCGAAGCAACGCGAAGAACCUUACCAAAUCUUGACAUCCUUUGACAACUCUAGAGAUAGAGCCUUCCCCUUCGGGGGACAAAGUGACAGGUGGUGCAUGGUUGUCGUCAGCUCGUGUCGUGAGAUGUUGGGUUAAGUCCCGCAACGAGCGCAACCCUUAAGCUUAGUUGCCAUCAUUAAGUUGGGCACUCUAAGUUGACUGCCGGUGACAAACCGGAGGAAGGUGGGGAUGACGUCAAAUCAUCAUGCCCCUUAUGAUUUGGGCUACACACGUGCUACAAUGGACAAUACAAAGGGCAGCGAAACCGCGAGGUCAAGCAAAUCCCAUAAAGUUGUUCUCAGUUCGGAUUGUAGUCUGCAACUCGACUACAUGAAGCUGGAAUCGCUAGUAAUCGUAGAUCAGCAUGCUACGGUGAAUACGUUCCCGGGUCUUGUACACACCGCCCGUCACACCACGAGAGUUUGUAACACCCGAAGCCGGUGGAGUAACCUUUUAGGAGCUAGCCGUCGAAGGUGGGACAAAUGAUUGGGGUGAAGUCGUAACAAGGUAGCCGUAUCGGAAGGUGCGGCUGGAUCACCU
rnacentral:rRNA from 3 species